UAGCAGAGGCUCAGGGUCCUGGACUCCUCCCUGGGAGCACACGAGCCAUGGCCUGGGAGGGCCCCAGGUUAGGGGCACACUCUCAUCCAGGCUAACCCCACUCUCCCGGCCCGGUGAGGAUGGAGAAGAGGUGCAAGUCCACAGCCAGAGGCAGCAGCAGAGCUUUAUGUAGGUCCAGUGCUGGCCUCAGAUGACUCGGGUGGAUCAGACUUGCGGCCUGCUCUUAUGAAGCCCAUGAUCUGCUACCAACCUGUGGGCCUGGAAGCCAAGCACCUGCGACUGCAUCCCUCUGGGACUUGUGAGAUGUAGGUCCCAAGGCUUGCUCCCUGGAAAUAUAAAUCUGUUUUCGUAGUGCCAGAAGAUGCUCACUCGCUGGUAGCUGAGGGAGAAAAGCUAUCAGUGGGCUUCCCAAGUGUGGACCUUGCGUGCUGCAAUUAUGACCUACCUGCCAGGCAAGAAGUACCCGCUGGUGCGAUAGCGCUACACUUUUUAUGCGGUAAUGAAGCACUUUCUGACUGGACUUAGGCCUGCUCCAU